UACGUAGGUGGCGAGCGUUAUCCGGAUUGAUUGGGCGUAAAGGGAACGCAGGCGGUCUUUUAAGUCUGAUGUGAAAGCCUUCGGCUUAACCGGAGUAGUGCGUUGGAAACUGGGAGACUUGAGUGCAGAAGAGGAGAGUGGAACUCCAUGUGUAGCGGUGAAAUGCGUAGAUAUAUGGAAGAACACCAGUGGCGAAAGCGGCUCUCUGGUCUGUAACUGACGCUGAGGUUCGAAAGCGUGGGUAGCAAACAGG
rnacentral:rRNA from 1 species